GAGAGAGAGAGAAAGAUAGUUCAGUUCAUAUAUUAUUGGUUAUUAAAAGGUUACUUUACUGAUUCCGUAUAUUGACAGUUACUGGUUGAUAUCAGAUAAAGAGAGAACAAGAAGAAGUAGACUAAAGGAUCAGUACUGACUGAUGAUAGUACAGGAACCAUUUUAACUCUUUAUUAAUGGGCGGGGUUAUUAGGACAGUAAUCUAAACCGUAAAUGUACUCCGUAAUUUUUAAUCUUCUUCUUCUUUUAAUUUGUUGCCUCCUCUGUUGAGGAGAGUACCACCUUAGUGGGAAGAGAUUAAAGUUAGUGAGAAUGGAUACAGGAAGCCCGAUGAGCUCUCAGAUCAGAGAUGUAGAAUAAGAUCUUCGUUUGGGAUGAGCGGCAGCGCUGGGGAGAUAUGCCAAUUAACCGGGCCUGCCUGAAAUACGGAUCCACGCGGAUCAAAUGCGGAUCAGGCUGAAAUGCGGAUCAACGCGGAACGCUCGCGGAUCUGUAUUGAAGUACGGAACAACACGGAAACUAUACGGAUCUUUCUGCAAGAAUGAUAGCUAUGCAUCAGGAGAGAAAUUUACCAGCUCUAUUUGAGUCUUUGAUAGGAACUUUAUCAUCCUUGCAGUUUCAGUACAUGCAGUUGACUGAGAUCUACAGAUAAGCUGAUAUCCUCUUGAGCUAUUCUCUUCAACUUUUGUGAACAUGCAACCAUUGCCUGUGAUAAUGAGAAAACAGACUACUACUAGAUCUAACUACUGAGCAGUCAACACACUCAACAUUAGCUCAGUGUGCCUUCAUGCAGUCAAGGGACAAGUCAAGUUAUUUUAAAGUGCUAUCAUGGCUGUACCCCCCAAGUUCAACAUAGAUGGCAAAGUGGACCAUUGUCUGGGAAUUCCAGUCUUUGUUUUUUUACUUUAUCACUGUUAUUUUCUAAUUAUUAUUAUUCAUUCUGCAUGACUUAUAGAAUUAUUAUAUUUUUAAUCUUUAUUAUCAUUAUUCAGCUAACUACUAUUAUUUAUUCAUUCCAUCAAUCAUUCACAGUCGUAUAGUCUCUUAAAAUUUUACUAUUAGCUAUUGUUACUCAUUCAUCAUUUUUGUUUAUUGAUUUAAUCUCAUUGUAUUUCCCAAUUUCAGUGUACUAUAUGCUUCGGUUUUAUAAUUGCAAAAUCUAA